GAGGAAAGAGGAAGAGAGAAGCAGGUUAUACUCACAAUUAGGGCGAUCACCUCUUGUGGAGAUAGAGGCAGAGGAUCGCGGCUCUGCCUCCGACCCAGGCUGCACCUAUUUUACAUGCAAAGAUUUUGUAGCCUCCUGGAGACACAGGAACACGCCUGCCUCCAGAUGCUGGCACCGGCUCUCUCCUCUGUUCAGAGCAUUCUUCCCUCUCCCUGAAGCAAGCAGCCUUCAGGACUCACCUGUCAUGACCAUUGGGACAUCUGUCACAGCUCAAGCUACAGUAUCAUUCAUUCAGCAAAUACCACUGAGUGCCUUCUAUGUAGCCAACAUGCUCCAGUCACUGGGGACAUAGCAGCAAAACAGAAGGGGUCACAGUUCUGUGGGCACUAAAUGUCCUAAUGGAAGAGCUAAACC
rnacentral:lncRNA from 1 species